CCAGCAGACCCUCCCUCCCAGACCCUCCUACUUUCUGGACAGCAUGGAAGUAGGAAGUCCAGGAAGUAGGAGGGUCUGGGAGGGAGGGUCUGCUGGAGAUUA